rnacentral:rRNA from 1 species
UACGAAGGGGGCUAGCGUUGCUCGGAAUCACUGGGCGUAAAGCGCACGUAGGCGGAUCUUUAAGUCAGGGGUGGAAUCCUGGAGCUCAACUCCAGAACUGCCUUUGAUACUGGGGAUCUCGAGUCCGGGAGAGGUGAGUGGAACUCCGAGUGUAGAGGUGAAAUUCGUAGAUAUUCGGAAGAACACCAGUGGCGAAGGCGGCUCACUGGCCCGGUACUGACGCUGAGGUGCGAAAGCGUGGGGAGCAAACAGG